UCAAAUCCUGUCUCCGCAA
rnacentral:tRNA from 1 species